UCCCUGGUGGUCUAGUGGCUAAGAAUCUGCAUUCCAAUGCAGGGGAUGUGGGUUCAAUCCCUGCUCAGGGAA
rnacentral:tRNA from 1 species